UAACACGUGGGUUAACCUGCCCUGUAAGACUGGGAUAANNUCCGGGAAACCGGAAGCUAAUACCCGGAUAGUUCCUUGAACCGCAUGGUUCAAGGAUGAAAGACGGUUUUCGGCUGUCACUUACAGAUGGACCCGCGGCGCAUUAGCUAGUUGGUGAGGUAACGGCUCACCAAGGCGACGAUGCGUAGCCGACCUGAGAGGGUGAUCGGCCACACNNGGACUGAGACACGGCCCAGACUCCUACGGGAGGCAGCAGUAGGGAAUCUUCCGCAAUGGACGAAAGUCUGACGGAGCAACGCCGCGUGAGUGAUGAAGGUUUUCGGAUCGUAAAGCUCUGUUGUUAGGGAAGAACAAGUGCAAGAGUAACUGCUUGCACCUUGACGGUACCUAACCAGAAAGCCACGGCUAACUACGUGCCAGCAGCCGCGGUAAUACGUAGGUGGCAAGCGUUGUCCGGAAUUAUUGGGCGUAAAGGGCUCGCAGGCGGUUUCUUAAGUCUGAUGUGAAAGCCCCCGGCUCAACCGGGGAGGGUCAUUGGAAACUGGGAAACUUGAGUGCAGAAGAGGAGAGUGGAAUUCCACGUGUAGCGGUGAAAUGCGUAGAGAUGUGGAGGAACACCAGUGGCGAAGGCGACUCUCUGGUCUGUAACUGACGCUGAGGAGCGAAAGCGUGGGGNAGCGAACAGGAUUAGAUACCCUGGUAGUCCNCGCCGUAAACGAUGAGUGCUAAGUGUUANGGGGUUUCC
rnacentral:rRNA from 1 species